rnacentral:rRNA from 1 species
GGGCCCGCACAAGCGGUGGAGUAUGUGGUUUAAUUCGAUGCAACGCGAAGAACCUUACCAGGGUUUGACAUCCUGCGAAUCUCUUGGAAACGAGAGAGUGCCUUCGGGAACGCAGUGACAGGUGGUGCAUGGCUGUCGUCAGCUCGUGUCGUGAGAUGUUGGGUUAAGUCCCGCAACGAGCGCAACCACAUUCUUAGUUGCCAGCAGUUCGGCUGGGCACUCUAAGAAAACUGCCCGUGAUAAGCGGGAGGAAGGUGUGGAUGACGUCAAGUCCUCAUGGCCCUUACGGGUUGGGCUACACACGUGCUACAAUGGUAUGACAAUGGGU